rnacentral:rRNA from 1 species
AGAUUGAACGCUGGCGGCAGGCCUAACACAUGCAAGUCGAGCGGAUGAGGGGAGCUUGCUCCUUGAUUCAGCGGCGGACGGGUGAGUAAUGCCUAGGAAUCUGCCUAUUAGUGGGGGACAACGUUUCGAAAGGAACGCUAAUACCGCAUACGUCCUACGGGAGAAAGCAGGGGACCUUCGGGCCUUGCGCUAAUAGAUGAGCCUAGGUCGGAUUAGCUAGUUGGUGAGGUAAUGGCUCACCAAGGCUACGAUCCGUAACUGGUCUGAGAGGAUGAUCAGUCACACUGGAACUGAGACACGGUCCAGACUCCUACGGGAGGCAGCAGUGGGGAAUAUUGGACAAUGGGCGCAAGCCUGAUCCAGCCAUACCGCGUGGGUGAGAAGGCCUUCGGUUGUAAACCUCUUUAGUAGGAAGAAGCGAGGUGUUAUUCACUUCAUGACGGUACUGCAGAAAAGCAACCGGCUAACUACGUAGCCACGCGAGCCGCGGUAAC